CACGAACCGUACGAACGUUAUUCGGAAUUACUGGGCUUAAAGGGUUUGUAGGCGGCCAUGUAAGUCAGGUGUGAAAUCCCCUCGGCUCAACCGAGGAACGGCGCUUGAUACUGCAUGGCUUGAGGGAGACAGGGGUAAGCGGAACUGAUGGUGGAGCGGUGAAAUGCGUUGAUAUCAUUAGGAACUCCGGUGGCGAAGGCGGCACGCUGGACCUCUUCUGACGCUGAGGCGCGAAAGCGUGGGGAGCAAACAGG
rnacentral:rRNA from 1 species